rnacentral:rRNA from 1 species
CCCUACGGGGCGCAGCAGUGGGGAAUAUUGCACAAUGGGGGAAACCCUGAUGCAGCGACGCCGCGUGAGUGAAGAAGUAUUUCGGUAUGUAAAGCUCUAUCAGCAGGGAAGAAAAUGACGGUACCUGACUAAGAAGCCCCGGCUAACUACGUGCCAGCAGCCGCGGUAAUACGUGGGGGGCAAGCGUUAUCCGGAUUUACUAGGUGUAAAGGGAGCGUAGACGGCAGCGCAAGUCUGGAGUGAAAUCCCAUGGCUUAACCAUGGAACUGCUUUGGAAACUGUGCAGCUGGAGUGCAGGAGAGGUA